rnacentral:rRNA from 1 species
UACGUAGGGUGCGAGCGUUAAUCGGAAUUACUGGGCGUAAAGCGUGCGCAGGCGGUUUUUUAAGCCAACUGUGAAAGCCCCGGGCUCAACCUGGGAAUGGCAUUUGGGACUGCAAGGCUGGAGUUUGGCAGAGGAGACUGGAAUUCCUGGUGUAGCAGUGAAAUGCGUAGAUAUCAGGAGGAAUACCGAUGGCGAAGGCAGGUCUCUGGGCUAUAACUGACGCUCAUGCACGAAAGCGUGGGGAGCAAACAGG